ensembl:lncRNA
CCAACUUUUUUUUGCAAUUCAUGGCAAAACUGAGAAGGAUGAACCUUAGGGGGUAUCCGAUUGAUCCUAGCCUCCUCAGCCUCUACACUGAUCCCAGUUGCUGUCUAUAUUCAUAA